rnacentral:rRNA from 1 species
UACAGAGGGUGCAAGCGUUGUUCGGAAUUAUUGGGCGUAAAGAGCGUGUAGGCGGCUUGGUAGGUCUCGCGUCAAAACCUGAGGCUCAACCUCAGUUCGCGUGGGAAACCACCUAGCUAGAGUCCGGAAGAGGAGAACGGAAUUCCCAGUGUAGCGGUGAAAUGCGCAGAUAUUGGGAAGAACACCAGUGGCGAAGGCGGUUCUCUGGGACGGUACUGACGCUGAGACGCGAAAGCGUGGGGAGCGAACAGG